rnacentral:lncRNA from 1 species
ACAGAGCCCAGCACCUCCUUCCCCUCCCGGGGUCUCCCGCUGGACUGCGCUGCGGUUUCUCUGCACAGCGCUUGUCGGGUGUGUUGAGCUGGAGGUCUUGGCGCAGCGACGGGCUUGGGUGGCCAUGUGUUCCCGUGUAGGUGGAGCUCGUAAACGCGAGAAAAAGCCGCGCCCUGGGUCAUUUAAUAGCCUCUUUGCUAGAACGAGACGCCUCCCGGCGUGCCCCCUCUCCAGGGCCAGCCCUGACGGGGAAACAUGAGCGCUCCAUCCGGAUUGACUUCAAGAGCAAGAGUUUGAGAUGGAAAAGCUGGCCACGCCGCUCGGGUUGGGAUGAGGUAAUCCUCACAACCUCUUCCUGGGCGAGGAGAGGAAGGUUGAGGAACACCUGGGCGCAGGAAGAACCUCCCUGCGAAGUGGAGGGUUCUGUGCGGUGCUCAGAGAACCUGCUUCAGGCCUUUGCCGUCCUUC